rnacentral:lncRNA from 1 species
GUGGAUCGCAGGGUUGUUGCACGAUCCACAAGACCUCAGCAGACUGAUUGGGCAUUUUCCUCUCGAUUUCUCACGAUCUACGAUGGACCGAUGGCAUUUUAAGGACAUGUCUCAUGGCUCAUGCAGGGUUUCGUGGAUUGGGGAGUUAGGUAAUGCACGAUCGGAUGGUGUGGAGGUGUUUGUGGUCAUCAUCGAACAUUCAAGGAGGUUUUUGAGUCCUGUUCGAGCCCUAUUAUGGAGUGGGACUUGGAUUUCAGGCUCUUUAAAAGUCCUAUAAACAAAUCGAGGGGUAGAGUAUGGCAUGGUGUGUUAAGCGAGGACCUAGGGCAGCAGCAGAUCGAGAGGAGGUUAUAGAGAGUAGAGACAGGAGGGCUUCAGAUAGACUGCCAAGCAAUGGAUAGCGGUCGCUUAAAAAAAUUCAAGAGAUCUUCUAGAGAGAGCUUUAGAGAGAGAGAGUUUCUUGUGAGGGAGAGAUUGGAUUUACGAGGGUUGAAUGUGUGAUCUCCUCUUGUAAUUUUCUAUUUUUUCAUAGUAUAGCUUGCAUGCCGUAUGGAGGCGAGCCUUUUGGCUGAUCCAUGUAUUUGAUUGUAUUUCUAUUUUUGUUUCUUCUUUUUUUCUAUGGUAAUGCAUGGCAUCGAAGAGGUCCUGUAGAGGUGGUGUUCUGAUCAGACAUCCUCAACAAGUGGUAUCAGGGUGAGACGGUAUCAGAGCAUAGUGGUGAUCAAGAUUAAAGAUAGAGAAAACAAGCACAAUCAAGAUGGAGAUCAAUCGAUUCGAUAGAAAGAGCAAUUUCUCUUUGUGACAAGCAAGGGUGAAAGAUGUGUUCAUCCAAUAUGGAUUGAUCGAUGCUCUCUUGUAUGAGAAGAAGUCAGACAUCAUGGAGGAGAAAACUUGAG